rnacentral:rRNA from 1 species
UACGUAGGGUGCAAGCGUUGUCCGGAAUUAUUGGGCGUAAAGAGCUCGUAGGCGGUUUGUCGCGUCUGCUGUGAAAUCCCGAGGCUCAACCUCGGGCUUGCAGUGGGUAUGGGCAGACUAGAGUGCGGUAGGGGAGAUUGGAAUUCCUGGUGUAGCGGUGGAAUGCGCAGAUAUCAGGAGGAACACCGAUGGCGAAGGCAGAUCUCUGGGCCGUAACUGACGCUGAGGAGCGAAAGCAUGGGGAGCGAACAGGAUUAGAUACCCUGGUAGUCCAUGCCGUAAACGUUGGGCGCUAGAUGUAGGGACCUUUCCACGGUUUCUGUGUCGUAGCUAACGCAUUAAGCGCCCCGCCUGGGGAGUACGGCCGCAAGGCUAAA